rnacentral:rRNA from 2 species
CUCGUUAAGGCUGAGCUGUGAUGGGGAGAAGACAUUGUGUCUUCGAGUCGUUGAUUUCACACUGCCGAGAAAAGCCUCUAGAUAGAAAAUAGGUGCCCGUACCGCAAACCGACACAGGUAGUCAAGAUGAGAAUUCUAAGGUGAGCGAGCGAACUCUCGUUAAGGAACUCGGCAAAAUGACCCCGUAACUUCGGGAGAAGGGGUGCUCUUUAGGGUUAACGCCCAGAAGAGCCGCAGUGAAUAGGCCCAAGCGACUGUUUAUCAAAAACACAGGUCUCUGCUAAACCGUAAGGUGAUGUAUAGGGGCUGACGCCUGCCCGGUGCUGGAAGGUUAAGAGGAGUGGUUAGCUUCUGCGAAGCUACGAAUCGAAGCCCCAGUAAACGGCGGCCGUAACUAUAACGGUCCUAAGGUAGCGAAAUUCCUUGUCGGGUAAGUUCCGACCCGCACGAAAGGCGUAACGAUUUGGGCACUGUCUCAACGAGAGACUCGGUGAAAUCAUAGUACCUGUGAAGAUGCAGGUUACCCGCGACAGGACGGAAAGACCCCGUGGAGCUUUACUGUAGCCUGAUAUUGAAAUUCGGCACAGCUUGUACAGGAUAGGUAGGAGCCUUUGAAACGUGAGCGCUAGCUUACGUGGAGGCGCUGGUGGGAUACUACCCUAGCUGUGUUGGCUUUCUAACCCGCACCACUUAUCGUGGUGGGAGACAGUGUCAGGCGGGCAGUUUGACUGGGGCGGUCGCCUCCUAAAAGGUAACGGAGGCGCUCAAAGGUUCCCUCAGAAUGGUUGGAAAUCAUUCAUAGAGUGUAAAGGCAUAAGGGAGCUUGACUGCGAGACCUACAAGUCGAGCAGGGUCGAAAGACGGACUUAGUGAUCCGGUGGUUCCGCAUGGAAGGGCCAUCGCUCAACGGAUAAAAGCUACCCCGGGGAUAACAGGCUUAUCUCCCCCAAGAGUUCACAUCGACGGGGAGGUUUGGCACCUCGAUGUCGGCUCAUCGCAUCCUGGGGCUGUAGUCGGUCCCAAGGGUUGGGCUGUUCGCCCAUUAAAGCGGUACGCGAGCUGGGUUCAGAACGUCGUGAGACAGUUCGGUCCCUAUCCGUCGUGGGCGUAGGAAAUUUGAGAGGAGCUGUCCUUAGUACGAGAGGACCGGGAUGGACAUACCUCUGGUGUACCAGUUGUCGUGCCAACGGCAUAGCUGGGUAGCUAUGUGUGGACGGGAUAAGUGCUGAAAGCAUCUAAGCAUGAAGCCCCCCUCAAGAUGAGAUUUCCCAACUUCGGUUAUAAGAUCCCUCAAAGAUGAUGAGGUUAAUAGGUUCGAGGUGGAAGCAUGGUGACAUGUGGAGCUGACGAAUACUAAUCGAUCGAAGACUUAAUCAA